UACGUAGGUGGCAAGCGUUAUCCGGAUUUACUGGGUGUAAAGGGCGCGUAGGCGGGAAUGCAAGUCAGAUGUGAAAUCUGAGGGCUUAACCCUCAAACUGCAUUUGAAACUGUAUUUCUUGAGUGAUGGAGAGGCAAGUGGAAUUCCUAGUGUAGCGGUGAAAUGCGUAGAUAUUAGGAGGAACACCAGUGGCGAAGGCGACUUACUGGACACAUAUUGACGCUGAGGUGCGAAGGCGUGGGGAGCAAAC
rnacentral:rRNA from 1 species